UAAUACGUAGGGUGCAAGCGUUAAUCGGAAUUACUGGGCGUAAAGCGUGCGCAGGCGGUGAGAUAAGUCAGCUGUGAAAGCCCCGGGCUCAACCUGGGAACUGCGGCCGAAACUGUCUCGCUAGAGUACGUCAGAGGGGGGUGGAAUUCCACGUGUAGCAGUGAAAUGCGUAGAGAUGUGGAGGAACACCAAUGGCGAAGGCAGCCCCCUGGGAUGAUACUGACGCUCAUGCACGAAAGCGUGGGGAGCAAACAGGAUUAGAUACCCUGGUAGUCCACGCCCUAAACGAUGUCGACUAGCCGUUGGAGACCUCGGUCUUUGGUGGCGCAGCUAACGCGUGAAGUCGACCGCCUGGGGAGUACGGUCGCAAGAUUAAAACUCAAAGGAAUUGACGG
rnacentral:rRNA from 1 species